rnacentral:rRNA from 1 species
AAUACCGCAUAACGUCGCAAGACCAAAGAGGGGGACCUUCGGGCCUCUUGCCAUCAGAUGUGCCCAGAUGGGAUUAGCUUGUUGGUGAGGUAACGGCUCACCAAGGCGACGAUCCCUAGCUGGUCUGAGAGGAUGACCAGCCACACUGGAACUGAGACACGGUCCAGACUCCUACGGGAGGCAGCAGUGGGGAAUAUUGCACAAUGGGCGCAAGCCUGAUGCAGCCAUGCCGCGUGUAUGAAGAAGGCCUUCGGGUUGUAAAGUACUUUCAGCGGGGAGG